UGGGGAAUAUUGCACAAUGGGCGCAAGCCUGAUGCAGCCAUGCCGCGUGUGUGAAGAAGGCCUUCGGGUUGUAAAGCACUUUCAGCGGGGAGGAAGGCGUUAAGGUUAAUAACCUUGGCGAUUGACGUUACCCGCAGAAGAAGCACCGGCUAACUCCGUGCCAGCAGCCGCGGUAAUACGGAGGGUGCAAGCGUUAAUCGGAAUUACUGGGCGUAAAGCGCACGCAGGCGGUCUGUCAAGUCGGAUGUGAAAUCCCCGGGCUCAACCUGGGAACUGCAUUCGAAACUGGCAGGCUAGAGUCUUGUAGAGGGGGGUAGAAUUCCAGGUGUAGAGGUGAAAUGCGUAGAGAUCUGGAGGAAUACCGGUGGCGAAGGCGGCCCCCUGGACAAAGACUGACGCUCAGGUGCGAAAGCGUGGGGAGCAAACAGG
rnacentral:rRNA from 1 species